rnacentral:lncRNA from 1 species
AUCGUCUCCCCCAUUCACUUCACCUUUAGAGAACCCCAUUCCAACCCUAUCUGCCCCCAUUUCCACUUCUUUGAAGCCCGGCGGCAGCCCAUCCAAGCCCCACAAAAUGAACACCCAUGAACCCCCUUUUCCCCUCGUCCCAAAACCACACUCCGUUUGCUUCAAAUCAGACCAGAAGGGAUCGAAUCUUCGAAUGAAGGUUUGGCUAAAAACCUCAUCCACCUCCAAAUCCUUUCAAAAUUACAUUAUAGAACCCUACCAGCCUCCACUUCCACAAUCCUUGAUUGGUUCCUCUCAAAUCCAUGUAGAUUUCCUCGAAUUUUGAAUCCGGGGUCGAAAAUCUAAACGCCGAAAAUCAUUCUACAUCGAGCCUAGUGGCAUGCAUGAGCAUAUGUCAUUUUUGCCGAGUUUAAAAGUCUGAUUCAACGAGAACUAAUGUCGUUCAGUUGUUCUUGACAAAAGAACAAAUGUACAACAUUAGUCUCGUUAAAAUCAAGGUCUCCGGUGUUGGCGAAUAUGGAAUCUGUAAGUUUUUCUUUCUCUCUUAUAUUUUCCUUCACUAUUUCAUCUCCCUCCUCAUCCUUGUUCUUCUGGUUUGGUCUAGGUUGAGCGGGGUUACCUGAGUUCAAAUUUGAGUCCACUUUCUGUUUAGAUUUCCUCUUCUUUUCUUCUUCGUUGUGAAAAUUAUUAGCUAAUUUCUUUAGUCUUCUUGGUAUUGUUAGUCCGAAUCUUUGUGUUAAAAAACUUAGUAUAAUUAUUUGGUUAAAAUAGGUCCAUAUCUUUUCAUAAAUUUGAUUUUUCUAGUUUAGUGAUUUUGCUUAGUUUCGACUAUUUUUAAAUGAUUGCUGGGAAAUUUUGGUAUAGCUUUGAUCCAGAGUUCUUAAGUUUUAAUUGUUUUCUAUGUGUCAAAAGGCCCAUCAUAGGAUUCAGUUGGAUUUUAACAGGUCAUUUGGCCAAUGAUCCAUAUCUGUUAGAUUUUAGGGAGUAAAAACAAGGAACUUGGUGGGUAAUUAGGGUAGUUCAAGUCAGGGAAUCUUUCCCAACUGAUUUAGAAACUUCAAAGGGAGGGCCUUAAGGAAUUCAGGCUAAUAGAGUAACUAGCUUGGUAAACAAGUCCAUAAGUGAGGGCUAUCUAAGCUAAAAAUAAUAGUUAAAAAGGGACUAAAACAAAAAAAACAAAACCUAAGGGCUGCCCUUCGUUUGAGCCUAUAUAAGGCAAGACUUAGAGAGCUGAAAAAUCAGAGGCGUAUACAUUCUAAAAUCUUAGAGAUUAAGAGCAAAAAAAUUCUAAAAAAAUAGAAUAAAAACAGGCUGAAAAUUCCAUAAAAUGAAUAGCUGCAUUUUCUAUUAUUCCAUUGAUCAUUUCUCUACCAUUUAGUUAUUUUUGAAGAACAUUUCAACCAUUUUUGGGUCUUAAGAUGGCUUACUGUGGGUUUUCUUUGGUUUCGAGUUGAAUUUGGUAUUUAGGGUCUGAUUUCAAGCUUGAAUCUGGCCUGAUUGAGCUGGAUUUACUGUUUCAUUGGUUAUCUUUUGCUGAUUAUGUAUUGAUGGUGCUGGUUUUCUGCUUUAGAAUACUGUGGAGCCCUCAUCUUCUCCUUUGAUUUUCCUUUCCAAGUACACAUCUGUGACCUUAAGCAUGUAAGCCAUGGCUCGUGUUGUGUUUUUGUGAAGGAAAUGAAGAUUUUGAUGUUAUCCAUUCCUUCUCAGCAUGUUUGGAAUUUAUAUUGAUACUAUCAUAGGGCAAUCAAGAAGUGCAUAUUGAUUCAUACUUGUUUAAAUUCUUAGAUUCUAUUGUCAGGUUUGUUGGAAUAUGUAUUAAUUACAACACUACUGUGGUAAAAGCAUGUGUUGAGAAGUUUUUUUAAGAUUUAAUAUCUAUGUUUAAUUAGGUAUGUGUUAAUUUAGAAUUAAUACAUCUUGGUCCAUUUCACACUCAAGUUGAUUAGGUUGUCUCUUUUGAGUUUUCCCAGUACAAUGCGAUGCUUGAUAUGAUUUGCUAUUUUGAGAUGCCUGUGUAGAGUAGUUAAAUGUCAUAGGUUAUAUGCUGUCCACUUUUCUAGUAUGAUUUAUAUUACAUUUAUGUGUGGGUGUAAUUCUCUGUAAAAUGCAAGC